UUUUUUUUUUCGUAGAAAUUGACAAAUAGAUUCUAAAAUUUGUGUGGAAAUGCAUAUGACCCAAAAUGGCCAAGAUGGUCUUGGAAAGAGCAAAUCCGGAGCAUUUACAUUACCAGGGAUCAAGACUUCUUUUAAAGGAAUUCUUGUCGUGGCUCAGCAGAAACAAACCCCACCUAGUAUCCAUGAGGUAGUGGGUUCGAUCCCUGACCCCACUCAAUGGGUUGAGAAUCUGGCAUUUCUGUGAGCUAUGGCUUGGAUCUGGAGUUGCUAUGGCUGUGCUGUAGGCCAGUAGCUGCCAUGGCAGCUCCGAUUUGACCUCUAGCUUGGGAAAUUCCAUAUGCUGUAGACAAGGUACCAAGAGCACUAGCCAUAAAGGAAUACAUGUGAUGAUUUGGAGUACAUUAAAAUUAAGGUCUUGUUCAUCAAAAGACUUCAAUACAAGUGAAAGACAAGUCACAAAAUGGGAGAAGCUAAUUAUGUGCUCUUUAUCUGUGUAGGUGUGUAUUCAACAAAGGACUCAUAUUCAAAAUUUAUAAAGAGCCCCUACUUCAACUAAAUAAAUAAGGAAAGACACAAUAUAGUAGAAGAAUGGGCAGAAGUUUUAAACAGGCCCUUCAGGAUGAUGUCAAAUGGCCAGGGAUUGAACCUGCAACCUCAUGGUUCCUAGACAGAUUCGUUUCUGCUGAGCCAAGAUGGGAACUCCCUUGCUGCUGUCUUUACCUGCCCUUAGUCUCUCUCUGUGGUUCCUCCCAUUGGGAAGCACCACUCCCUUACCCCACAUCAUGUCAUAAAUAUGUAGCUAUUGUGCUAAAGACAUGGAAAUAUCCUAGCAAGAUGUAAAUCAUUGUGUCUGAAGACGGACAUCUUUUAAAAAUCUUCCCUCAUGAUGAGAAAGGUGUUGGAGAUGUGGUCAUACUAGGGAGAUGCAGAAAGAGAGAAUGGAUGAGUUGGGUUUUAGCUGCGAAAGAGGGGACUGGACCUGAGGAAGGAGUGAGACCAGCUGGCACUGGGGUUCUGUCGAGGGCAAAGCAGGAUCCCCACGAUGCUACAGAUGUCUUGGGGAUGUAGGCAGGAACCCUUGAACCACAUCCCAGGGAAUGAGAGAAGAAUCCCAGGGAGUAACUUAAGUAGAGUGUCCAGGACACUGCUGGGCCCACCCCCCAGCAGCCUGAGAAUAAGGAAGGGCAAAUAGCUUUCUCUUGCUUCUGCGGAGUGACAUCAACUGAUAAUGCCUGUUUGGGGUGCAGUCUUGAGGUCAGGUCUCAGGAGAAAGAAGGUGGUGAUUGAUUAGUCAUGUCUCCCAGGGGGUGUGUGGUGUUGGGUUUGCCUCUAGUCUCAGGGCAUGUUUCUGAACUUGACAGAGAGCUGCCCUGAGCGCAGGAGGAGCGGGUGUUCCCCACACACCCAUGGGGGCAUCAUGCAGCGUGAACCGGGCACCCACCAAGUUAGAUUUAGCUUGAAAUUAGCUAACUAAAGUGCAAAGUAACCAAAUGAUUAGCUUUUUAAAAGUCCCAGGUUUUCUCCUCAUGCUUUGGAGGUGACCCUUAACAUUGUUGUGGUCUGUGUUUUUUACAUCAGGGAGUGAAUGACACAGAAGCUUCUAAAGGAGUGGAAACAAAGCAUCUGAGAGGAAAAAAAAAAUAUCCCAAGUAGCAGGAGAUUCCUUCACCAAAGGGAAAUAAUGUUUAUGAAAGUAUUUCGAGCGCUAUAAAGUGCUCUAUAAAUGUAAAGAUUUAUUAUUAUGCAUUGCUGGAGGAAAACCAGCUAAGCCAGAAGGCUAACAAUUACAGAACAGACUUCCUUAUUAUUCUUGCUUCCUGCAAUUAAGUUCCUCCUCUUGGAACCUCUGAGGAUGCCUGACCUGGAUCAGGGCCUUGCUGGUGAGAGCAGGCUAAAGGCAGGGACAUGUGGCCCACUGGGGCUCACGGUCCACCAUUUGGAUGGCCAGUUAUCCAGCAGGGAUCCAGCCUGUGAAAAGUGGGCUGUUGCCUCCCAUGCUUGUGUGAGUUGGCUUCAUAGGGGGAGGUCAAGCUCAUCCCUGAAAAUGACUGUUUGCUGGACAGCCAGACUCUGGAGCUGGCCUCAUCCCACCCUUGCCUUCUAGAGGGGACAGUCUCUGCUUCCUCUGCCCCCCCCCCACCGCCCCUUUCAGCACCUUUAGCAUCCAGAUCAUAAAUACUUUUGACUAAUCUCUUUUCAAGACUUGGCUUCUUAUUUCCUCAAAAUAUCCAAUUAUUUCCUAUUUUCUUUCAUAAAGGGGUGAAAAAUUAUGAACAAUAAGGUACAAAUAAUUUUUCCUGCUGGUAUUUGAUAGAAAUAGGCUAUGAGACACUCAUGGUCAGUAAGCAUCCACAAAACUUUGGAAUUGGUGGUUAAUUUACAAAUCUUCAAGAGGAGGGUUGGAGCCACUCUUCUCAGCUUCUGUAUUCACUCCACUGACAAACAGAAUCAAUUGUCAAAACUACACUAGGAGUUCCCAUUGUGGCUCAGUGGGUUAAGAACCCAACUAGUAUCCAUGAGGAUGUAGGUUCGAUCCCUGGACUCACUUGGUCCAGCAUUGGCACAAACUGUGGUGUACAUUGAAGAUGCUGCUUGGAUCUGGUGUUCCUGUGGCUGUGACAUAGCCUAGCAGUUGCAGCUCGGAUUUGACCCCUAGCCUGGGAACUUUCAUAUGCUGCAGGUAUGGCCCUAAAAAGCAAAAAAAAAAA
ensembl:lncRNA